GCAUUGGUAGUUCAAUGGUGAAAUUUUCACCUUUUGUGCGGGAGACCUAGGUUUGAUUCCUGGUCAAUGCA
rnacentral:tRNA from 1 species